rnacentral:tRNA from 3 species
GGACAUGUAGCUCAGUUGGUUAGAGCACAGCACUCAUAAUGCUGGGGUCAGUGGUUCAACUCCACUCAUGUCCACCA